GACGAACGCUGGCGGCGUGCUUAACACAUGCAAGUCGAGCGGUAAGGCCCUUUCGGGGGUACACGAGCGGCGAACGGGUGAGUAACACGUGGGUGACCUGCCCUCAGCUCUGGGAUAAGCCUGGGAAACUGGGUCUAAUACCGGAUAUGACUCCAUGACGCAUGUUGUGGGGUGGAAAGCCUUGUGCGGCUGAGGAUGGGCCCGCGGCCUAUCAGCUUGUUGGUGGGGUGANGGCCUACCAAGGCGACGACGGGUAGCCGGCCUGAGAGGGCGACCGGCCACACUGGGACUGAGACACGGCCCAGACUCCUACGGGGGGCAGCAGUCUAGAGGCUUCGUCAAUGCCCGAAAGGGUGAACGGGCGACGCCGCGUGCGGGAUGAAGGGCUUCGGCUUGUAAACCGCUUUUANCUGGGAAGAAUACCCGGGUCGUGAACGUCGGGGCGACCGGUACCAGAGGAAUAAGCCCCGGCUAACUCCGU
rnacentral:rRNA from 1 species